rnacentral:rRNA from 1 species
GACGAACGCUGGCGGCGUGCCUAAUACAUGCAAGUCGAACGCAGUGGGGACGGGUGAGUAACACGUGGGUAACCUCCCAUCAGAGGGGAUAACACUUGGAAACAGGUGCUAAACCGAUACUGAUGGAUGAACCCGCGGUGCAUUAGCUAGUUGGUGAGGUAACGGCCCACCAAGGCCACGAUGCAUAGCCGACGUUAGAGGGGUAUGGACCAAACUGGGACUGAGACACGGCCCAUACUCCUACGGGAGGCAGCAGUAGGAAAGCUUGGGCAAUGGACGAAAGUCUGACCGAGCAACGCCGCGUGAGUGAAGAAGGUUUUCGGAUCGUAAAACUCUGUUGUUAGAGAAGCGGUAUCUGACCAGAAAGCCACGGCUAACUACGUGCCAGCCGCCGCGGUAAUUC